UGGAGAUUUGAGAAAGUUUUGCAGUUGAUUUAGUACUGCCAGAACUGGUUAGAACCUCCAAGACCAAAUCUCAAGCAGUGCAUUCAUGUCUGACUCUUUCAUUCAGAUUAUGCGCUGUGCUUGAGUACAGGAU